rnacentral:lncRNA from 1 species
ACAGUGAAGCGGAGGCAGAGCGGCUCAGCGAGCUCCUCUCCACUUUCCCAUAGAGAACCCCUGACUGGCCGCUGAGGGCGAGCCACACACACGCCCUCACGCCCCGCGAGCCCGCGAGGCAGCGCCGCCCGAGAGGGGCACGGGAGCCGGGGCGCAGGCAGGAGCAGCCCGAGGAAAACAACAACAGAGCCCUCAUGCCGGCGGGCGGCUCGUGGCCGCCCGGGGAGCCCCAAACUUCAUCUCGGCGAAAGUCACUACCAUAUGACAAAGGCUUUGCCGCAGUUCAUCUUCCUCUCUGUGUACUUUCCAUUUGCCUUCUUGG